rnacentral:lncRNA from 1 species
UGUUGACCUAUACACAUAAUUCCCACAGAAACACUGAAGCAGGGAGAGAAAACGGCUGGAAUUGAGCUGCUGAAUUGGUGGGCUGCUUUGCUGAAUUAAACGGGGUGCUGAAGAGAAUAAUGUAUUAUAUAUACACAGACAGAAAGAAAGCAGCUUGGGGGAGAAUUGAAGAACAUAAUUGCACAGGAAAACGACAGAUUUGUGGGACUAAAAGGAACAGAAGGCAGGCUGGUAAUUGGACAAUUUAAUUAGCAAUAAAGAUGGACGGCUGUUGGAGAAAAAUAGAGAAACAUAUCCACGAGACGGGCAGAAAGUGUUGAAGGAAUAAUUCCAAGUUUCUUUUGGAAGGAAUUUGGAUGUUGAUCAUGUUCCGUCAAUUUUUUGGUGACGUCGUUUCACUUUUAUUUGUUUAAUUCGGCCGUUAUGGUAGGCUAGGCUUUUUUGUGCUAUGAAAACG